CAUAAAGAAAGUUAAUAAAACUUAAUAUUAUUGUUGUUAAACUGCACAUGUGACGUAGUGGUACUAAUUUUAAUUGAAAAUACAACUCAAGUCGAAUUAGAUCGUUAAAUUAUACCAAAUCCUGUUUUGAAUUCUUUAAAUUAUUGUCUUUGUUAAAAUCUUUAAUUUUAUAAACAAAAUUUGUUGUAUAAAAGGAGCGUCAAAAUUCGAUAUUGUCAUCAGUCGCUUUGUGUUUAUCAAUCAAUCACAAAACUACCUUUAUAAUCAACAUGAAGUUCUUCAUCUUUUUUGCCUUGUUCCUUGUUGCCGUCAGUGCAGGAGGUCUUCCACUUGCUCCUAGGCAAACAGUUCUUGUAAAAACAGUUCCAGUAGUACAGAAAGUCAUACCUAUUGCACCCGUUAGGAAAGUCGUCCAAUUGAAACCUUCAUAUGGUAUUUCAGGAUAAGGCAAACCAUUUUAAAGUUCAAUCCAGAAGAAAAUAAGAACAACCCGAAAAUCUUAUUAACUAAUUAAACCUUCAAGAUGAAAUUUUGUAUAUGAAAAAAACAAAAAUAAAUGUAAUUUAAGUUAUCAGCAUUCAAAA